GUUCAAAAGUGAAAGACGGUCUUGCUGUCACUUAUAGAUGGAUCCGCGCUGCAUUAGCUAGUUGGUAAGGUAACGGCUUACCAAGGCAACGAUGCAUAGCCGACCUGAGAGGGUGAUCGGCCACACUGGAACUGAGACACGGUCCAGACUCCUACGGGAGGCAGCAGUAGGGAAUCUUCCGCAAUGGGCGAAAGCCUGACGGAGCAACGCCGCGUGAGUGAUGAAGGUCUUCGGAUCGUAAAACUCUGUUAUUAGGGAAGAACAUAUGUGUAAGUAACUGUGCACAUCUUGACGGUACCUAAUCAGAAAGCCACGGCUAACUACGUGCCAGCAGCCGCGGUAAUACGUAGGUGGCAAGCGUUAUCCGGAAUUAUUGGGCGUAAAGCGCGCGUAGGCGGUUUUUUAAGUCUGAUGUGAAAGCCCACGGCUCAACCGUGGAGGGUCAUUGGAAACUGGAAAACUUGAGUGCAGAAGAGGAAAGUGGAAUUCCAUGUGUAGCGGUGAAAUGCGCAGAGAUAUGGAGGAACACCAGUGGCGAAGGCGACUUUCUGGUCUGUAACUGACGCUGAUGUGCGAAAGCGUGGGGAUCAAACAGGAUUAGAUACCCUGGUAGUCCACGCCGUAAACGA
rnacentral:rRNA from 1 species